AGCAUAGCGGAUCGGUGCCGGCGGCAACCAGCCUCCCCGCCGGCGGCCACCUUCCCCGUCAACCCGCCGCCCCACUGCUGCUCCCUCGCCCUGUCCCUCCUUGUCUGGGACAACGAGGCCGCCGCCGCGCCCUGACCCCGCGCAGCUCUCUGGUGUUUGUCCUGGCCUCUCCUCUAUCCGCGCGUCAGAGGGGGUGUGCUAGAUCCGGUCCAACCAAAGAGAGCGCCAGGGGUAUUUUCGGCAUACCGCAAAGUUCAAGAAGAGAAGGGAAGGUCGGCUUCAUCUUCCACCUUUUCUCCCUUUUCCCUCUCGCCCUUUCCGCACUGCAACCGCCAAAUUCUCUUCCGAGCCGAGCUGGCCCGCGGCGCAGCACAUGGAGGUGAUUCGCUCUAUCUUCUCUUCCUCCAGCUGCCAGGAAGCUGGAUUCUCUGUGAGCUCUUGCCCACUGAUUGGGCGCGUGACGGCAGCCUAAUUGGGUUCUUGAUUCUUCCGAGCGUCGUAGUAGCGCUCAAUUUCGACGGAGCAUCCCAGGUCCGGCUGCCGUUUGACUCCUGCGGUUGCAGGGGCAGCCGGCUAUUCUCCUUCCUACCUUCUUGGGCUAUCCAUUCCUGGAUUGUUUUGGAUAGUUUGGAUUGGGAGGAGAGGAGAUGAUGCGACGCUGCGUCUCGGAGCUAGCCCACCGGCGGCGGCCGGAUAACGUGGUUGAUGCUAUGAAGCUAGGCUUCCAAUAUUUGGCCAAUGUUUCCUCUUUAACAAGAGCUAUUGAGAGUCAUAGGUGCUCAAAUGCACACGCAACUUCCUGCGUUACUGAUCGAGAUAUUGUGUCAAGAGAAACAGCAUCAUCAGAAAUGCUUGUUGAUUCAUUCGGGAGGUUUCACAAUUACUUGAGGAUCUCCUUGACUGAGCGCUGUAAUCUGAGGUGCCAAUACUGUAUGCCUGCUGAAGGAGUUGAACUAACACCGAGGUCGGAGCUUCUAUCACAUGAUGAGAUAAUUCGAAUUGCUGACCUUUUUGUUACCUCUGGUGUGGAUAAGAUUCGAUUAACUGGUGGAGAGCCUACCAUAAGAAAAGAUAUUGAAGACAUUUGCUUACAUCUUUCGGGUUUGAAGGGGCUAAAAACACUAGCAAUGACUACAAAUGGAAUUGUUCUUUCUAAGAAACUCCCCAAAUUGAAAGAAUGUGGCCUCAAUGCCUUAAAUAUAAGUUUAGAUACACUAGUACCUGCAAAGUUUGAGUUCAUGACAAGGCGCAAAGGGCACUCAAAGGUCAUGGAAUCAAUAGAUGCUGCUGUAGAACUUGGAUAUAACCCUGUGAAGGUCAAUUGUGUUAUCAUGCGUGGCAUGAAUGAUGAUGAGAUCUGUAAUUUUGUUGAAUUGACGAGACACAAGCCCAUCAAUGUGAGAUUUAUUGAGUUUAUGCCAUUUGAUGGUAAUGUUUGGAAUGUGAAGAAGCUAGUUCCUUUUGCAGAGAUGUUGGACAAAGUGCGGCAAAGUUAUAAUGGUGUAGAGAGACUUCAAGAUCACCCAACAGACACUGCAAAGAAUUUCAGGAUUGAUGGACAUGUCGGGACAAUUUCAUUUAUUACAUCAAUGACAGAGCAUUUUUGUGCUGGCUGCAAUAGACUACGGUUGUUGGCUGAUGGAAACCUCAAGGUGUGCUUAUUUGGCCCCUCAGAGGUGAGUUUAAGAGAGCCCAUCCGUGUUGGUGUUGAUGAUGCUGGACUGAAGGAAAUAAUUGGUGCUGCGGUAUGUUGGCAAACUUGCUAGGUUAAAAGGAAGAAAGCUAAACAUGCUGGGAUGUUUGAUAUUGCCAAGACAGUGAAUAGACCAAUGAUACAUAUAGGUGGUUAAGAUCUCCUGAAAUGAGACUCAAAAUGAAUUGUCAACUCAACUGCUGGUCGCUUUUACCGACAGAACUACACAAAUAAGUUCUUCGACUGAAUGGAGCAACAGAAAAAGCUAGCCAGUUGUGAAAAUAUUGAUACCUAUACUUGAACAGCAUUUCAGAACCACACACUGAUCAGUGUUCAUGUAAUCAUGUCAUCACGUGCCGAAGUGCUUUGGUUAUGUGUUGUAUGCAAAAGUAUCAAGUUGUGUUACUACUCUGUUGUGACCUCUUACAGCUUCUGAAUUACCUACGCUGUCUUCCUGCUGGCUCAACAUUACCAGUGGCAAACACGAGUUCAAUCACAGGCAGCGUAAGAACGAUCAAAACAAGUAUACAGUAACACCAGUAUAUACAUCUUUAUAUAAUGCAUCCUCCACUACAAGGGCUGCUAGAAUGAUGACAUCCUUUGCUACUAAGUUAUGUUUGGCAUUAUUUCUAUCACUAUUCCCAUCGUGCCAUGAUAAGAAACUAGAUAUAUUUUGAUCAUUUUGAAGGUCCUUGAAGGAUUCCUUUUUUUUUUGUGAAAAUCCUUGAAGGAUUCCUAGUUAAUCACUUAAUCUGUGAUGGAUUCUUGACUGUUGUUAAACAGCUAAGAAAGUUGGAAUGCUAUAAAAGCUUAGUUCUUGAUGAA